UUAAAAUGUGCGGGGCCUGACAAUGAAACAGCAGAGCCAUCGCACAUUGUUAUGCAACUCACUGUCUGCAAGGGUGGCUCGUAGCUCCUUCUUUAUUCAGCAAGUGCCAAGUGCAUGUUUAAUCAAUGUCACAGCUCACCACAGUGUGCAACUAAAGCCACUGUCAUUCCUCGCUUCAGAUUUGCCUGGCUAAGUUAUGCAAUGCUCCGAAGAAUACCUUGGAAUUCUUUCCAGAGGCUCUGAAUGCAGGUGUGUGACAGCGUUCACACUACUGCCAGUAAAGCAGACUUCUUUUCAUCCUUUUUCAGGCUGGACUAAAAUUACAUAGCGUGACUGCACGCAGUUCGCUGCAUUUGGAAUUACAGCAUGUCAACGUGAGAAAGUCUCCUCAGACGGCUGCCACAAAGAGUAAAUCAAAGGCUGGGCUUUUCUGAAGUCUUAAUAAAUAACUAAGUGCAACUGAAUAAAACCAGGAGCCGUUGGUAUUUUUUUCUUUUUCUAGGGGCAAAACCAAACAGCGUGCAUUUUGUUGCUCUGCAUCAUCUAAGGAAAAAAAAAUCCUCAAUUUUAAUGAGAAUUAGUCAACAGUGAGGAUCAUUACCAGAAAAGGUUUUACUGGUUUUCGACUGCACUUGCUUUAGUGGAUUACCGAGAGAGAAGGCCAGUCAUUUGGAAGAUUCUGUAACAUUAUUAUCCUCACUGAUAAACUUCUUCAUCAAGGAACUGUUCAUGCUCCUAUCUCUCCCGUCUGGUCUGUCUGAGUGAGGACAGCAGCCCCUCCAUGAAGAAAAAAGCCUGGUUUGCCACCGAAUCGACGAGUAAGAAGCAUGUCUGAUGACAUUUUAUUCCUGAUGCAAUGUAGGCUAGCUGCCAGAAUACUGGUGAAGGUAUUUGCAGGAAAAAUGGGGACCUCUGCCAUCACAACACUGGAAGAUGUAAAAAGGCAAGAGGAGAAAGAGGAAAAGGAAGAAUCUAUUUUAGCACUGCUUGGGAUUAUUGGAACUGUACUCAAUUUAUUUGUUAUUGUUUUUGUGUACAUCUAUACUACACUUUGAUGACAUUUUUGAACAUCAAUUGCAUAGCACACAGUGCAAAGAACAGUGAUAGUAAGAAUGAUUUCUAAAUUUAAAGCAAAACCCCUCACUGUUGAAAGGAUUAUCAAAAAUAUUCCAGAGCAAAGUGUCUAGCUAAGGGUGCUGCAUCAAUGACUGCUAAAUGUAUGUGCGAGCCCAGCUAGUGUGCUGAAUUACGUAAAUGAAGGCAGACGAUGCUCAACUUCUCAUUGAUAACAGAUGAAAUCCCAAUAGCAGAAACAGAGAUGGCACUGUUUUACUGCCAGCAAACAUGCAAGGCACAAGAAAUGUAAGGAAACGCUGAAAACAAUCAGAUCAUAGAAAGAGAUUAAUUAAAUAUAUAAAUACAUAUAAGCAAGCCCCAUGAUGCUUUCUAUGGUUUUGUGCAAUGUCUCUUCAUAGACGAGACCAGAAAACAGACAAAAGGGUUUUAUUUUUAGAUCACCAUAAUUUAGGCUUAUAACUUACACUAAUGUAUAAGUGUGGAAACAGGAACACUGUUAUACCAAAAAUUGUAAUAUUAUAAAUAAAAUUUUAACUAUUGACUAUAUUCUGCAGCAUUUUUGUUAGUCUUGUGGAAAGCUGAAAAAGGUUAGAUUUUCUUGCCUUUACCGAAUCUGUACUUGAAAUCAUCAUGCUAUACUGACAAUGUGCUUUUCUAAUUAAAAAUCCUUUAAAAUGGUGUGAAAAAGUAAACAAUAGUUUCAGUACUUCUUUUAAUAAAUAUUAAUAACUAAAAUGACAAACUAAUACAUAUUCUCCAAAUGAAAAAAAUCUUAAAAAAAAUUUUCUAGAUCACCUUUUUUAAAGAGUGUUUAACAUAAGUCAAAUAAAACUUUCAUGUUUUCAUCCUGAUGCUUAUUUUCAAGUAAAAUAAAAUAUAUCAUACAAGGAUUCACGGUGUUGCAUGGAAAACAGGUUUAAUAUCUUUGCCCAGAAGAGUGUACUCUCUCCUUCUGAAGACAUUUUCCCUUUUUGUAUCAUUUAUGAUUGAGGCCCAGAAUUGCAACUGUUAGGAAUACUUCAUGGACUAUACAAUUAGACUACUGAACUUGAUUAAACUAUUUCCAUGUUUUAAAUUAAUCCUACGUAUGUCCUUGAAUUAAAUCCAAAGCUGCAGACAGUCUGAGAUCAUAGAAACUUUUAUAUACAUGAAGAUAUCUCACAUAUAUCUUCUAAUAGAAAAGCUACUUUUGAGAUCUUAGGAUUUAAAACAAAGUAGAAAAAUAACACUAAAAAAAAAAACCCCACACUGAUUUAAAUAAAAACCAGUCUUAGUAUUACGUGUGCCACAGAGGAACAAUGGAGGAGUUGCAUUUCUGAAAAUCAGCUCAGUCCUUUCUCUGAGGCAGCAAAGCUACAUGCAGUCCUUCCAUAAAAUGACAAGCAAAGAAAUACAUGUCAUAUAUAGGUGAUAGCUUAUUGCUGUAUAGAACUUCAUAACUGCUACACCAACAAAGCCUUUGGAAAUCACUUUGAAACAAGCACAUGCAUAAAAUAAAGUCAAAGAUCUCGAACAGAAUGAAUUUGGCAACGAUAUUUCAGUCAGUUGCAGAAACUACGCUGUAACACACUGAUUUAUGGAUGAAUGAGGUGGAAGAUGGUAUAUUCUGGUUUUGCCACUCUGAGUCAAUACUGGCUCAUCCAGAGAAAUGAUAAACAGAGCUGAGGCUGCACUGGAAGGAAACGUGCAGACAAGAAAAUUCAUUCACUCUCUACAGUCUACAGCAAAUCCCUAUUAUUGUAUACUCAUUUUCAGCAUAUGAAGCACCAAAGCAUUCUGUAAAACUAAGCUACGUUCUAGAGAAAUUAUGCAAGUUAUUGAUGUAUAUUUAAGACUAUAGAACAGAGUCAAUACAUUAUUAAAUUUUUCAAUGUACUUCUUAUAUUACAUACUUAUGGAUAUUAUUACAUUAAUCUCAUAAUACGAGGCUAUUUGCAAUGGUUCUUAAAAAUUAGAGGUUACAAGAACCUCUGAACAAAAAUAUGAAAUUCAGGUCAAAAUUAAUGCUGAAAUUAUUUAAAAUUUGUCAAUUCUGUGAAAUAAAUAAACAGUUUUAUUUUAUGUCAUUUCAGUGCACAGCUGUGUUCUCAACUAGUACUCCAGCACUGGAGUGAGAUACUGCACUAUUUUUUGGUAAACAUUUCAACAUCAAAAGCGAUAAAAAACAAUCCCAAAGUUACAACAAAAUAUGGCAAAGGUUCAAUAUAAUUCUGUUACCAAUGAAUGAAUUCAUUAACAUUAAUGAAAACUAGUGGAAUUUGUAAUUUGUUAAUUAUAUACUGUUUAUCUAAACUACUGUUGUACUUCUAAUUUCGCUUACAGCAAACAGCUUUGACCCUUCAAAGGAAGUCACAGGGUAAUAUUAUUAUUAGACAUUGCCCCAGCAUGAGCCAGAUUUUGUUUUAAAACAGAAGUCUGAUAUCUUCUCUUAACAUGUAAUACUUAUGUGCUAUACUCAUGUGGACCUAAGUCUAACUUUAGUUAAAUGAGCUCCAAUAUUCAGCUCUGGUGCUUA